rnacentral:rRNA from 1 species
GAAUGCUGACAUAAGUAACGAUAAAGCGGGUGAAAAGCCCGCUCGCCGGAAGACCAAGGGUUCCUGUCCAACGUUAAUCGGGGCAGGGUGAGUCGACCCCUAAGGCGAGGCCGAAAGGCGUAGUCGAUGGGAAACGGGUUAAUAUUCCCGUACUUGGUGUUACUGCGAAGGGGGGACGGAGAAGGCUAUGUUGGCCGGGCGACGGUUGUCCCGGUUUAAGCGUGUAGGUGUGUGUUCCAGGUAAAUCCGGUUCACUUUAACACUGAGGCGUGACGACGAGGCACUACGGUGCUGAAGCAACAAAUGCCCUGCUUCCAGGAAAAGCCUCUAAGCAUCAGGUAACAUCAAAUCGUACCCCAAACCGACACAGGUGGUCAGGUAGAGAAUACCAAGGCGCUUGAGAGAACUCGGGUGAAGGAACUAGGCAAAAUGGUGCCGUAACUUCGGGAGAAGGCACGCUGACACGUAGGUGAAGUGAUUUACUCAUGGAGCUGAAGUCAGUCGAAGAUACCAGCUGGCUGCAACUGUUUAUUAAAAACACAGCACUGUGCAAACACGAAAGUGGACGUAUACGGUGUGACGCCUGCCCGGUGCCGGAAGGUUAAUUGAUGGGGUCAGCGCAAGCGAAGCUCCUGAUCGAAGCCCCGGUAAACGGCGGCCGUAACUAUAACGGUCCUAAGGUAGCGAAAUUCCUUGUCGGGUAAGUUCCGACCUGCACGAAUGGCGUAAUGAUGGCCAGGCUGUCUCCACCCGAGACUCAGUGAAAUUGAACUCGCUGUGAAGAUGCAGUGUACCCGCGGCAAGACGGAAAGACCCCGUGAACCUUUACUAUAGCUUGACACUGAACAUUGAGCCUUGAUGUGUAGGAUAGGUGGGAGGCUUUGAAGUGUGGACGCCAGUCUGCAUGGAGCCGACCUUGAAAUACCACCCUUUAAUGUUUGAUGUUCUAACGUGGACCCGUUACCCGGGUUGCGGACAGUGUCUGGUGGGUAGUUUGACUGGGGCGGUCUCCUCCUAAAGAGUAACGGAGGAGCACGAAGGUUGGCUAAUCCUGGUCGGACAUCAGGAGGUUAGUGCAAUGGCAUAAGCCAGCUUGACUGCGAGCGUGACGGCGCGAGCAGGUGCGAAAGCAGGUCAUAGUGAUCCGGUGGUUCUGAAUGGAAGGGCCAUCGCUCAACGGAUAAAAGGUACUCCGGGGAUAACAGGCUGAUACCGCCCAAGAGUUCAUAUCGACGGCGGUGUUUGGCACCUCGAUGUCGGCUCAUCACAUCCUGGGGCUGAAGUAGGUCCCAAGGGUAUGGCUGUUCGCCAUUUAAAGUGGUACGCGAGCUGGGUUUAGAACGUCGUGAGACAGUUCGGUCCCUAUCUGCCGUGGGCGCUGGAGAACUGAGGGGGGCUGCUCCUAGUACGAGAGGACCGGAGUGGACGCAUCACUGGUGUUCGGGUUGUCAUGCCAAUGGCACUGCCCGGUAGCUAAAUGCGGAAGAGAUAAGUGCUGAAAGCAUCUAAGCACGAAACUUGCCCCGAGAUGAGUUCUCCCUGAGACUUAGAGUCUCCUGAAGGAACGUUGAAGACGACGACGUUGAUAGGCCGGGUGUGUAAGCGCAGCGAUGCGUUGAGCUAACCG